rnacentral:misc_RNA from 1 species
GCAUCCCACACUUGUGGGCUUUGGAGAGGGUUGAUGCACACAGCCUCCCCCCUAUUUUGCAGAGAGGCUAUUUCCGUAGCUCAAAGCUGUGACCUCCAGGUCACAAAUGGAGUAACUUUACCAUUGUAAUAGAAAGAAUGCUAACAUAAAAUGGACUUUGAGAAAAAUAACAGCCACAAGCACAUAUGGGUGCAUGCCUGCAUGCACACAUACAAAGGUAACCCCUUAACUCAAAAGCAACUCAUUGCUAAAGGAAUUGAUCCAAAACAUCCAUUAUUGCACUAGUAUUUUGAAAUUAUAAUGGCUCCUUCCAGACUACAUGAUUUAUAAUUCAGACUUUAAAUGCUCAAUACAAAGAAGCAUUUCCGUUUACAAGGGCAAAUAAUUUCUGCUUGACAUAUAAAAUGUACAAGUUCUGACAGUAAAAGUCUUCUUUCAUUUCAGUAGCUUAUCUUUUCCCAAUAAUUUUGGUGCCCAAAAGGCAACUUUAACAAUAUCCUGCAUGUAUCAAAGUUCAUGUGAAUCCAAAACGUGCCAGAAUAUGUUCAAACAAAAAUACUAACA